rnacentral:tRNA from 1 species
AGCUGACUCUUAAUCAGGUGGUUGAGGGUUCGAGUCCCCCGUGGGUCACCA